rnacentral:tmRNA from 1 species
GGGGGCGUCCCGGUUUCGACGUGUUUGGUGAACGUGGAGUAGCGUGCCGAGGUCCUGAUCCUCGCUAAUCUUCGGGAAACUUUUUAGCUGCCAACAACAACCUGGCGCUGGCUGCGUAAGCUUUCUUACGUGCCCGUCUCCCUGGUCGCCCGCUCGAGGCGGUCUUUGAGGCGACGAUAAGUCGAGCUGGUCCCCCGGUUUCGCCGCCGGGCCAGGGGGCGAGAUUUUUAGGCGGCUGGCCGCGGGGUCGGUUGAUCACUGACCGCCCGAGGUGAGAUAACCCAGUGAUCUACGCACGUAGAGAUUCCGCUGGACCCAAGUGCGGACGCGGGUUCGACUCCCGCCGCCUCCACUA